ensembl:lncRNA
GUGUUUUCUGCUCUGUUAAGUGCAGCAGUGGAUUAGUCAGCCGGUUUAUUUAAGGCAGGUCAAGAGUCAGGGGACACAAGUCAGUGUGUCCCUGCGCGUCUCAGGUCCUCAGUGAGGAGGAUGCAGAGUAACAUCUACAGGCAACAGGAUGAGCACUUUGAGGUGUACACCACCGUCCUCUCCCCACAAGGUGAGCGGGACCGCAGCUUCCGACACCGUGUCCGUCCGGGUGUCUAGAGCUGGGAUACACUCUCAGAGGAAAACCGCAGCACCGCCAAACGGGUCCAUCGGCCACUCCUCCUGGAUAAGCCUUUUUUUUCUCCUUCAGGUCCACGGAGAAUUUAGACAUCCCAAAAGGCCCGUUAGAAUGUUUCUGUUGUUUUCAUGCAACUUCGAAUGUCUAGACAAUUACCGGCUUAUCGUCGGCCAGUUGCGUUCAGAGUUGUUCUGUAGGAUGGAAGCGAUGUUUUGACUGGAUUUUCUCCGUUGUUUUCCAGUGCCCCGGGGACGAUGUCAGUUCAGGCAGGCAGAAGUUGAGAAGAUGGUGGUGAAGCGCAGCUACAAGCCCCAUUGGCCAGACGAGCUCCAGUUGACCCGUGGUGAGGUCAUCCUGGUGCUGUUUAAGGGUGAGGAGACCAGGUGGUUUGGGCGGCUGCAGGAUGGACAACAGGGGUACUUCCCUGCCUCCCAUGUCGUAGAGCUGAGUGACCAGGAAGAUGAGCCCGGGAAGGAUGUCGACCGUUUAGCGAGACGGAGUUCAGCUCCGGCCACAUAUGCAGGUGGUUCUGGCCCCCUCAGGCUCCAGGCUCUCCGCAGAGCCAGCAGAGCAGCGGCGGGAGGCGGGCCAGAAGGGUCCGAGAGGGAGGGGGAGGGUCCCAUCCUGAUACUGAACUCCCAAAUCUCCCUCCCCGACGGGAAGACUCAGCCCGUGCCGCCGCCGCCGCCGCCGCCGCCGCCGCCAAAGGCACACGACUCCCCGGGCUUCCUGCGCAGGAUCCUGUCCAAGCACCGGCGGAGGAGUGUCUGCCGCGGGUCCACCAACACCGGCUACCUGGCUGACUAGGCGGGGCCGGCCGGGGGAGAGGAAGGAGGAGGGGCACCGGGACGCCCGGCGACCAUUUUUGUAAAUGGACCGCGUUCUGGACCCAGGUAGGGUUGCCAUGGCUACAGCAUCGUUGCUAGUCCUCUGGAGGAGGGUGGAACAGCUCCACUAACCUCUUCCUCUGGGUUCAAGAAAAAUCCAGCGUUCAUGAUUAAGAUGUGACACUGGGCAAAGCCGUCCAUUAUGGGGUUUAGUGUGUGUGUGUGUGUGUGUAUGUGUGUAUGAGGGGGUGGGGGGUUUCAUUAACAGUGGGAACGGUUUACAGUAUGGUUAUAUUUUAAAAACUGUUUAAAAUGUUUAAACCAGCCAAAUAAUGUUUAAUGAGUUUUUCUGUUCCUUGUUAUGCUGUAUUGUAUUUUUUAGCAACUAUGAUGUUCUUAUGCCACCUGCACUAAAUAUAAAUUGAUGUAUUUCUUUUU